UUGCAAAAAUAUCAUCGGAGUGUAUCCAGUGGAGUCAAAGUGGGACAACUUGGAAAGGUGGACAGCUACUGGGUGUCACAGACCCAAUUUCCUAAAGUGGAGGCAGCUGCUUCUGGUAGCCUCGAUGCUUGAGUGUAACCACUAUGGACUUGAAAUGCACCACCACCAAGAAGGAGCAGUGACUUGGGUUGCAUUUGGUUUCAGGUGAAUCCUGGCUGGUUCUCUCUGGGACUAGGAGUUCCUGGCCCAGUCUCCAGGUAUUGAGAAUGACCAUCAAAGGAAGAGCAAGAAACUGUUAUUACUAUCUCUCAGGACAAUACAAUCACACAUCAGCUCUCAACCCUGUUGGUUACCUUGGCAAGUGUCUGAUGUUUCCUUUGGCAUCUCAGUGACUGAGUUGGGAGUGGACAAAUUGAGUGAGAUGCAUAUAUGCAUCAAUCCACAUUUUGU